AAACAGUAAGCCAAAAAGACCACAGCAAAAAUGAACCCUCUGUAGCUCAUGUUUGGGUGGAGGUACGUGUUACUGUUGGAACUUAGAUUGUUUAUAUGAUUUUUGUCAAAUAUCUUUCAGCAGAGCAGCAUUUUUUAGCUGUUUCUGAUGAUCUUGGAGUACUGCACAUUUUGGAAAUCAGUCAGGCACUAAGUGACGCUUCGAGGAAUGAGCAUGCCAAUGUACUUGAUUAUUUUGAAAGAGAAGUCAAAUAUCUGAAGCACUGUGAAGAAGAGUUUCAAGAGUAUCAAGAGUUUCAAGCCAAAACAGAAUCAAAAUGGAGCUGGAGACACAGAGAGAGAAAACAUGUAUGACUACUCUACAGAAAACAAAAGAAGAUAUGGAGGAGCAAGAAAAUGCAGACUAUAUUGUGUUUCUGGACCUGGAGAUGGUAAUGGAUUUAGGACUAGUAAAUGGACAAGAAAUACUUUUCUCAUCAGAUGCUUAGAGCCCAUUAUUACCUUUAGAACCAGCAAGUUUAUUUCAGGGCCUCUUUAUUUCAGCAGAACAUGUUUAGCUUCAGAAAUAAAGCAUCUUGCAGUUAGAGAUCAUUGUUUCACUAACU